GCCGGGCGUGGUGGCGGGCGCCUGUAGUCCCAGCUACUCGGAGGCUGAGGCGGGAGAAUGGCGUGAACCCGGGAGGUGGAGCUUGCAGUGAGCCGAUAUCGCGCCACUGCACUCCAGCCUGGGUGACAGAGCAAGACUCCGUCUCAA
ensembl:misc_RNA Metazoa_SRP Metazoan signal recognition particle RNA